AACGCACAUUGCGCCCGCCAGUAUUCUGGCGGGCAUGCCUGUUCGAGCGUCAUUUCAACCCUCAAGCUUCGCUUGGUGUUGGGGACCGGCAAUUUUUGACAGGGAGUUUCUUCUCUCUGGCAAAGCCGCCCCCGAAAUUUAGUGGCGGCCCUCCGAGGCGACCUCUGCGUAGUAACUUGUUCUCGCACUGGAAACAUUGGAGCGGCCACGCCGUAAAACCCCCGACUUUUAUCAAGGUUGACCUCGAAUCAGGUAGGACUACCCGCUGAACUUAA
rnacentral:misc_RNA from 1 species